AGAGUUUGAUCCUGGCUCAGGAUGAACGCUGGCGGCGUGCUUAACACAUGCAAGUCGAACGAAGCACCUUAUUCUGAUUUCUUCGGAAUGAAAAAUUUGGUGACUGAGUGGCGGACGGGUGAGUAACGCGUGGGUAACCUGCCUCAUACAGGGGGAUAACAGUUAGAAAUGACUGCUAAUACCGCAUAAGACCACAGCACCGCAUGGUGCAGGGGUAAAAACUCCGGUGGUAUGAGAUGGACCCGCGUCUGAUUAGGUAGUUGGUGGGGUAACGGCCUACCAAGCCGACGAUCAGUAGCCGACCUGAGAGGGCGACCGGCCACAUUGGGACUGAGACACGGCCCAAACUCCUACGGGAGGCAGCAGUGGGGAAUAUUGCACAAUGGGGGAAACCCUGAUGCAGCGACGCCGCGUGAGCGAUGAAGUAUUUCGGUAUGUAAAGCUCUAUCAGCAGGGAAGAAAAUGACGGUACCUGACUAAGAAGCACCGGCUAAAUACGUGCCAGCAGCCGCGGUAAUACGUAUGGUGCAAGCGUUAUCCGGAUUUACUGGGUGUAAAGGGAGCGUAGACGGAGUGGCAAGUCUGAUGUGAAAACCCGGGGCUCAACCCCGGGACUGCAUUGGAAACUGUCAAUCUAGAGUACCGGAGAGGUAAGCGGAAUUCCUAGUGUAGCGGUGAAAUGCGUAGAUAUCGGGAGGAACACCAGUGGCGAAGGCGACCUACUGGGCACCAACUGACGCUGAGGCUCGAAAGCAUGGGUAGCAAACAGGAUUAGAUACCCUGGUAGUCCAUGCCGUAAACGAUGAUUACUAGGUGUUGGAGGAUUGACCCCUUCAGUGCCGCAGUUAACACAAUAAGUAAUCCACCUGGGGAGUACGACCGCAAGGUUGAAACUCAAAGGAAUUGACGGGGGCCCGCACAAGCAGUGGAGUAUGUGGUUUAAUUCGAAGCAACGCGAAGAACCUUACCAGGUCUUGACAUCCGAUGCUUAGCUUAGAGAUAAGUGAAGUCCUUCGGGACAUCGAGACAGGUGGUGCAUGGUUGUCGUCAGCUCGUGUCGUGAGAUGUUGGGUUAAGUCCCGCAACGAGCGCAACCCUUAUUGCCAGUUACUACGAAAGAGGACUCUGGCGAGACUGCCGUUGACAAAACGGAGGAAGGUGGGGAUGACGUCAAAUCAUCAUGCCCUUUAUGACCUGGGCUACACACGUACUACAAUGGCGUUUAACAAAGAGAAGCAAGACCGCGAGGUGGAGCAAAACUCAAAAACAACGUCUCAGUUCAGAUUGCAGGCUGCAACUCGCCUGCAUGAAGUCGGAAUUGCUAGUAAUCGCGGAUCAGCAUGCCGCGGUGAAUACGUUCCCGGGCCUUGCACACACCGCCCGUCA
rnacentral:rRNA from 1 species